rnacentral:rRNA from 1 species
UUGCCUCAGUAGCGGCGAGUGAAGCGGCAAAAGCUCAAAUUUGAAAUCUGGCGUCUUUGGCGUCCGAGUUGUAAUUUGAAGAAGGUAUCUUUGGGCCCGGCUCUUGUCUAUGUUCCUUGGAACAGGACGUCACAGAGGGUGAGAAUCCCGUGCGAUGAGAUGACCCGGGUCUGUGUAAAGUUCCUUCGACGAGUCGAGUUGUUUGGGAAUGCAGCUCUAAGUGGGUGGUAAAUUCCAUCUAAAGCUAAAUAUUGGCGAGAGACCGAUAGCGAACAAGUACAGUGAUGGAAAGAUGAAAAGAACUUUGAAAAGAGAGUGAAAAAGUACGUGAAAUUGUUGAAAGGGAAGGGCUUGAGAUCAGACUUGGUAUUUUGCAUGCUGCUCUCUCGGGGGCGGCCGCUGCGGUUUACCGGGCCAGCAUCGGUUUGGAGCGGCAGGAUAAUGGCGGAGGAAUGUGGCACGGCUUCUGCUGUGUGUUAUAGCCUCUGACGAUACUGCCAGCCUAGACCGAGGACUGCGGUUUUUACCUAGGAUGUUGGCAUAAUGAUCUUAAGUCGCCCGUCUUGAAACACGGACCAAGGAGUCUAACGUCUAUGCGAGUGUUUGGGUGUAAAACCCGUACGCGUAAUGAAAGUGAACGAAGGUGGGGGCCCAUUAGGGUGCACCAUCGACCGAUCCUGAUGUGUUCGGAUGGAUUUGAGUAAGAGCAUAGCUGUUGGGACCCGAAAGAUGGUGAACUAUGCCUGAAUAGGGUGAAGCCAGAGGAAACUCUGGUGGAGGCUCGUAGCGGUUCUGACGUGCAA